CUACAAGCAAUGAUUUAGGAUAUGUCUGUAUAAGGUUAUUGUUUAGAGAGGAAACGGCUGGUGAAAGUUUCUCAAGACUUAUAAAGGUACUCCCUAAUAGCUACACUCGAAAGAGAUUGUCGUGAAACUGCGUUAAGGUGAAUGAGGUUAUCAAAUUGAUAACGAAUAAAGGUGGUACCACGAGAUUUCGUCCUUUGG
rnacentral:ncRNA from 1 species